GAUGAACGCUGGCGGCGUGCCUAAUACAUGCAAGUCGAGCGAACGGACGAGAAGCUUGCUUUUCUGAUGUUAGCGGCGGACGGGUGAGUAACACGUGGAUAACCUACCUAUAAGACUGGGAUAACUUCGGGAAACCGGAGCUAAUACCGGAUAAUAUUUUGAACCGCAUGGUUCAAAAGUGAAAGACGGUCUUGCUGUCACUUAUAGAUGGAUCCGCGCUGCAUUAGCUAGUUGGUAAGGUAACGGCUUACCAAGGCAACGAUGCAUAGCCGACCUGAGAGGGUGAUCGGCCACACUGGAACUGAGACACGGUCCAGACUCCUACGGGAGGCAGCAGUAGGGAAUAUUCCGCAAUGGGCGAAAGCCUGACGGAGCAACGCCGCGUGAGUGAUGAAGGUCUUCGGAUCGUAAAACUCUGUUAGUAGGGAAGAACAUAUGUGUAAGUAACUGUGCACAUCUUGACGGUACCUAAUCAGAAAGCCACGGCUAACUACGUG
rnacentral:rRNA from 1 species